rnacentral:lncRNA from 1 species
UUUUUUUUUUUUUUUGCUUUUUUGCUUUUUUUUUUUUUGAUACUUGCCUGACAUGCAUGUGCUAUAAAAAUAGUUGAUAGGGAAAUAACGUGAGAUGAUGGCUAGCUUUGUUUAAUGUCUCAUGAAAUUGUCAUGAACAAUCCAAGCAUAAUUGUGAAGGACACGUGUACUAAGUUCAAGCAAGUGGAAUAAAAGUUUUACGAAUGGACUUUUCAACUUCUUUCUCUACAGGUUUCAUGGAAAUUAGCCUUUUGGUUCUGAAACUUCUCUAAAGGAAAUUGUACAUUUUUGGAAAUUUAUUUCUUAUUCCCUCUUGGCAGCUAAUGGGCUUUUACCAAGUUUGAAUACAAAGUUUAUCAUAACAACAAAAUACUGCUAAUAUAACUACUACUCUUCCCAGCCAUAUCCUAUACUCCCCUCUCCCCCUGGGGAAAGAAAAAAAUUUUUUUUCAGAGGCAGGGGGGAUCGAUUGAAAAAAAAAUAAUAUGUUCCAGUUAAAAUUUUGAUAUAUGGCAUUUUCUAACUUAGGAAGCCACAACGUUAGCCCAUCAUGACAUUGGGAAGCAUUAACUGUAAGUCUUGUGCUUCCAGAUCACUUUUGUUUUUAAGAAUUACUUGAUAUUCAGAGUUCCCGUCGUGGCUCAGUGGUUAACGAAUCUGACUAGGAACCAUGAGGUUGCGGGUUCGGUCCCUGGCCUUGCUCAUGGGUUAAGAAUCUGGUGUUGCCGUGAGCUGUGGUGGAGGUUGCAGAUGCGGCUCAGAUCCCGCGUUGCUGUGGCUCUGGUGUAAGCUGGCAGCUACAGCUCCAAUUCGACCCCUAGCCUGGGAACCUCCAUAUGCCGUUGGAGCGGCCCAAGAAAUGGCAAAAAAAGACAAAAACAAAACAAAACAAAAAAAAAACCCAAAAAACAAAGAAGCUACUACAAAGUAUGUGAGUAGAUAUGGGGGAGAAAAUGAAAUGGCAAGGUGCUGGAACACACACCAGCAUGAAUAUUUGACAAGUGAGGGAUCCAGAGUGCUGGUAGGAAAAGCGGAUCUGAUGGAGAAAGAAAGGAAUACAGGUGUGAUGAUGGGAGGAGGGUGGGGCUGGGCUUCCAGGGAUCCGAGAGGGACCCCAGCCCUCACCAGGCAGCUUUCUAACUUUGGGCAAGUCAGCUAAUUUUUUAGAAAUUAAUUUCUCGUAAUUUAGAAAUUAAUUUCUUGUAAGGUUGAAAAUCAUUCCCCAUCUCAAAGUUUUGUGAUUCUGCAGUUUGCAAAGUGAAAGUGAAGGGGUCCUAGACUCAGGCAGCAGCUGGCAGAACAGAGUGAGUCUUCAUUUAAUCCAGGACACAAUUUUUGUCACAGGGACCGUAUUAUUCCAAGUGUCUGAUGCACGUGAUGGUCAGUAAUGCUCAUUGACUAAAUGAGCAGAUAUUUAGUAAACACAUAAGUGGUAGGAAGAUUGAGUUUUGGAAUGUGGUAGAAGGGAAUACUUUAGAAAAUGGUAAUAUAAUAGCAAAUAAUGGAUUUAAAUUCAAGUUGUAAUACGAAAUUCUGGAGACAAUAUCAUUAGCUGUGCUGUCUUCUGGCCAUAGAUUCUGGUGAAUCAAUUUUCACCUUAUAAUUUUUAGUUACCGAAAGACUGAUUCUAUCUUUUCUUUAACCGAUUAUAUUCAUAGAAGAAAAACUAAAAGCUAAUAGCAUAAUAAGCUGACUUAAUAAAGUACUAUUCAUUUUAUUUAGUUCACAAACUCUCUUCUUAAAUAUAACGUUGUUUAAUAAUAUCCUUGUCUUUAAAUGUUCAAGUGUAGUUCUAUCUUCAGAUUCAGUUAAUUUACCUUGAGUGUCAUUUAGUCCUUUACAGGCAAGGAAACUUGUUGCAAAUAAUUUGGUUGUAGUUUAGCAAAUCUCAGUGUAUCUUACAGAUGGAUAGAUGUGCUCUUAUGGUUAAAACAAUGAGCUGAUACAAUUUUUUUUUCUUCUUAGGGUCACACCCAUGGCACAUGGAAGUGCCUGGGCCAGGGGUCAAACUGGAGCUGCAGCAGCCAGCCUGUGCCACAGCCACAGCCACAGCCACAGCCACGCGGGAUCUGAGCUGCAGCACAGCUCACAGCAAUGAAUGGGGCCAGGGAGUGAACCCGCAUCUUCAUGGAUACCAGUCAGGUCUGCUACCGCUGUACCACAAGGGGAACUCCAGGGAGGGCAUUUUGGACUGGAGGAAGGACGUCCAGAAGGGCGAAGGGAUCCUCUUUGAAGCUGUCUGAAGAACCGCUUAGACUUCAGACGUGUGAGGAGGUAGGGACAGUCA